UUCCCGAACCCAAUGUGAACCAUACCAAACUGUUGCCUCGGCGGGGUCACGCCCCGGGUGCGUYKCAGCCCCGGAACCAGGCGCCCGCCGGAGGGACCAACCAAACUCUUUUCUGUAGUCCCCUCGCGGACGUUAUUUCUUACAGCUCUGAGCAAAAAUUCAAAAUGAAUCAAAACUUUCAACAACGGAUCUCUUGGUUCUGGCAUCGAUGAAGAACGCAGCGAAAUGCGAUAAGUAAUGUGAAUUGCAGAAUUCAGUGAAUCAUCGAAUCUUUGAACGCACAUUGCGCCCGCCAGUAUUCUGGCGGGCAUGCCUGUCCGAGCGUCAUUUCAACCCUCGAACCCCUCCGGGGGGUCGGCGUUGGGGAUCGGGAACCCCUAAGACGGGAUCCCGGCCCCGAAAUACAGUGGCGGUCUCGCCGCAGCCUCUCCUGCGCAGUAGUUUGCACAACUCGCACCGGGAGCGCGGCGCGUCCACGUCCGUAAAACACCCAACUUCUGAAAUGUUGACCUCGGAUCAGGUAGGAAUACCCGCUGAACUUAAGCAUAUCAAUAAGGCGGAGAAA
rnacentral:rRNA from 1 species